CCUUGAUAUUCACGAAUCGAAUCAAAGUUUCUGCUUCACGCUAUAUCAAGUGCCAACACAUACAGGAACUGAGUACUGAAUGUUGAAUGCCGGAUAGCGGCGGACGGGUGAGUAACGCGUGGGCAACCUGCCUCAUACUGGGGGAUAACACAGGGAAACUUGUGCUAAUACCGCAUAAUAUCAUUAUAGGGCAUCCUGUGAUGAUCAAAGGAGCAAUCCGGUGUGAGAUGGGCCCGCGUCCAAUUAGCUAGUUGGUGGGGUAACGGCCCACCAAGGCGACGAUUGGUAGCCGAACUGAGAGGUUGAUCGGCCACAUUGGGACUGAGACACGGCCCAGACUCCUACGGGAGGCAGCAGUGGGGAAUAUUGCGCAAUGGGGGAAACCCUGACGCAGCAACGCCGCGUGAAGGAUGAAGGUCUUCGGAUUGUAAACUUCUUUGAUGAGGGACGAACACAAUGACGGUACCUCAAAAACAAGCCACGGCUAACUACGUG
rnacentral:rRNA from 1 species